rnacentral:rRNA from 1 species
UGGGGAAUUUUGGACAAUGGGCGAAAGCCUGAUCCAGCGACGCCGCGUGAGGGACGAAGCCCUUCGGGGUGUAAACCUCUGUUGUGAGGGACGAAUAAGAUCUGGAGGAAAUGCCAGAUCGAUGACGGUACCUCACGAGAAAGCCCCGGCUAACUACGUGCCAGCAGCCGCGGUAAUACGUAGGGGGCGAGCGUUACCCGGAUUCACUGGGCGUAAAGGGGGCGCAGGCGAUCCAGUAUGUCGGGUGUGAAAUCCCACAGCUCAACUGUGGAAUUGCGCCCGAAACUACUGGGUUUGGGGCUGGUAGAGGGAGACGGAACUGCUGGUGUAGGGGUGAAAUCCGUAGAUAUCAGCAGGAACGCCGGUGGGGAAGCCGGUCUCCUGGGCCAAGCCCGACGCUGAGGCCCGAAAGCUAGGGGAGCAAACCGGAUUAGAUACCCGGGUAGUCCUAGCCGUAAACGAUGCCCACUAGGUGUGGGGGAGUCAUUCCUCCGUGCUGUAGCUAAC